UAAGGUGGCGAACGGCUGAGUAACACGUGGGCAACCUGCCCUUUGCACUGGGAUAGCCUCGGGAAACCGAGGUUAAUACCGGAUACUCCAUAUUUGUCGCAUGGCGAAUAUGGGAAAGCUCCGGCGGCAAAGGAUGGGCCCGCGGCCUGUUAGCUAGUUGGUGGGGUAGUGGCCUACCAAGGCAAUGAUGGGUAGCCGGGUUGAGAGACCGACCGGCCAGAUUGGGACUGAGACACGGCCCAGACUCCUACGGGAGGCAGCAGCG
rnacentral:rRNA from 1 species